UCCUAGCAUAUGUGCUGCUUCUUUUAGUUUUCGUAUUUUCCAGUGGUGUUCUCUGCCUAUUAUUAUAACUUCAUCUCACAAGGGUAGGUGGUCUCCAUUUUUCCAUACAUGAUCAGCUAUACCCGAUUUAUCAAUACCUUCUCAUGUCACAGCUUUGCGAUGUUCAUCUAUCCUUAUUUUGAGGGGGCAGCAUGUUUCGCCUUUGCAUAACCUACCACAGUUGCAUGGGAUGGAAUACACGCAGUCUGUGGUCAAAUUCUCUUCUAUUGGUGGUUUUACUCGAAGACACUGUCCUGACGUCAUAU